GGAGAUGAAUGGGUCCUGGUGGGUCCCGCGGCCUUCAAAGCCGUUGUGAGGCGUGCAGAGCGUCUCGGGUGUGUUCGAUUCGCACGCAUCUCCGCCA
rnacentral:tRNA from 1 species